CCAUGCAAAUGAGUUUGUUGUCCUGGAAAAAUGUUUGACUUGAGGUAAUCGCUGCAGACGGCCUAGGAGAAGAGAGAUCUGCUGUGGAUUUGUGGGGGAGGCAGCUCUCACAAGGACACUUUCAAAAUCCUCUUCAAACCUUGGCAAAGUGUCUGAUACCGCACAAGCCUGUCGACAAGAGGAAAUUGUUUAAUGAAAUCCACCACCACUCUCUCAGAAUAUGAGAAGUCGCCUUGAACCUAUUAGCAUGUGACAGGAUUCUCACGGGCUACAGGAAACUGCACCAUUAAUGACUAAAGAACAAAAAAGCUGCCAGGCUGGCAUGGAGCACGUCGAACAAUAAUAGGAAACUAAUUGUUUAUUUGGGGGAGGAAAAAAAACAGAAGAAAAUUCCAAUAUCGGAACAGAGUAAAAUGACACCCUGCUCUGAUAGAGAAUGACAGGGAUCACCUGCUCUCUUUUUGCAGUUUAGGGGAAUCAAAAGCUCAAUUUCUGCCUUCACACACCGAUACAAGACUGCAGAACCAGCACCGAAAGCAUCUCACUAUGCAUGUAACCAACUGGCUGCCCUCUCAGAGGAAUGACCUCACAUAUCAGCCUCCUGCAUUUUUAAUAACGGCCCUGUCAGCGGCCUGAGGAAUGCACUCGUCUUUAACGCGGUACAAAGGAAUUCCGAAAGAGGUAAUCUUAGCGAUUGCUAAUUAACUCCCCUUUUCUGUAGUAUGUCCAGGUUUAUAGCCCAGCUAUAGGGGGGGGGGAAAGCAGUAGGAAAAGCACAAAGCACACAAAAAACGGGGAAUUAUGAUAAGAGAAAAGUCAAACACAGCUGCACUAAAUAA